rnacentral:ncRNA from 1 species
GAAAAGUUUUAUUAUGGCUUUGGAAUUUGCUAUUUUAUUCUUUCACAUGCAAAUUUUAGUGGAAAAUUUAAUUUAAAUAAUUACUUAGGGGCAGUGAAGAGUUUUAAGUAUUAAUUUAAUUUAGACUUAGGAAUUUAUUUAAAUGUAAACAAAAUUUGUGCCAGCAGUAGCGGUUAUACAAAUUACAUAAGUUAAUUUUUGAUAGUUUAAUUAAGCGUGAAUUUUGAAUUUAGGUUUGGGUUUUUUAGGUGAAAUUUUAAAUUUAAUUUAAAUUUUAUAUUUGUUGCUGAAGUUAGGAAAUUUCUUUUUUAAACUAGGAUUAGAUACCCUAUUAUUGGAAAAGUGAAUUUUAAGCUAUGAUUAUUAGUAGUUAAGGUCUUUAAAAUCAAAGAUUUUGGCGGUGUUUUAGUCUUUUCAGAGGAACCUGUUUAUUAAUCGAUAAUCCACGAUUUAUUGUACUUUAGUUGUUAAUUUAUAUAUCGUUGUAUUAUAAAUAUUUUUCUAGAAUUUUAAUGUUUGAGAUUUAUUUUUAUAGAAUAAUUCAGAUCAAGGUGUAGUUUAUAUUAAAGUUUAAAUGGGUUACAUUAUAUUUAUAUUUGGUUUUAUUAUUUGAAAAUUAUUAAAUAAAUUGGAUUUGAGAGUAAUUUUUAUAGAUUUAUAUAGUGAUUUAGCUCUAAAACAUGCACAUAUCGCCCGUCGCUUUCAUUAUAAAAUGGAAUAAGUCGUAACAAAGUAGGCUUAUUGGAAAAUGAGCCUGGAAUGAU